CAGCAGCCGCGGUAAUACGGAGGGUGCGAGCGUUAAUCGGAAUUACUGGGCGUAAAGCGUACGCAGGCGGUUUGUUAAGUCAGAUGUGAAAUCCCCGAGCUUAACUCGGGAACUGCAUUUGAAACUGGCAGGCCAGAGUCUCGUAGAGGGGGGUAGAAUUCCAGGUGUAGCGGUGAAAUGCGUAGAGAUCUGGAGGAAUACCGGUGGCGAAGGCGGCCCCCUGGACAAAGACUGACGCUCAGGUGCGAAAGCGUGGGGAGCAAACAGGAUUAGAUACCCGUGUAGUCCCUGUCUCUUAUAC
rnacentral:rRNA from 1 species